AGUGAACGCUGGCGGUAGGCCUAACACAUGCAAGUCGAACGGCAGCACAGUAAGAGCUUGCUCUUACGGGUGGCGAGUGGCGGACGGGUGAGGAAUACAUCGGAAUCUACUUUUUCGUGGGGGAUAACGUAGGGAAACUUACGCUAAUACCGCAUACGACCUACGGGUGAAAGCAGGGGAUCUUCGGACCUUGCGCGAUUGAAUGAGCCGAUGUCGGAUUAGCUAGUUGGCGGGGUAAAGGCCCACCAAGGCGACGAUCCGUAGCUGGUCUGAGAGGAUGAUCAGCCACACUGGAACUGAGACAAGGUCCAGACUCCUACGGGAGGCAGCAGUGGGGAAUAUUGGACAAUGGGCGCAAGCCUGAUCCAGCCAUACCGCGUGGGUGAAGAAGGCCUUCGGGUUGUAAAGCCCUUUUGUUGGGAAAGAAAAGCAGCAGGUUAAUACCCCGCUGUGCUGACGGUACCCAAAGAAUAAGCACCGGCUAACUUCGUG
rnacentral:rRNA from 1 species